rnacentral:rRNA from 1 species
UACAGAGGUCUCAAGCGUUGUUCGGAUUCAUUGGGCGUAAAGGGUGCGUAGGCGGCGCGGUAAGUCGGGUGUGAAAUCUCGGAGCUUAACUCCGAAACUGCAUUCGAUACUGCCGUGCUUGAGGACUGGAGAGGAGACUGGAAUUUACGGUGUAGCGGUGAAAUGCGUAGAUAUCGGGAGGAACACCAGUGGCGAAGGCGGCGACCUGGGCAGAUACUGACACUGAGGUGCGAAAGCGUGGGGAGCAAACAGG